AGAGAUUGCGCUCAGGUGCGGCAGCUCGCGGCUCUCCAUUCUCCGGUCACAGACUAGAACUUUCCUCUGCUCUGAACUCAGCGCUUCUGGACUAGUGCAGUACAGAAGCUGUCAGAAAGAGUGGUUUCAGAUACUGCUGUUGACACACACACCCACUGUGAAAGAUCACACUCAUAGAGACCUGAAACAAAAAUACUAGAAUCACGAAAGUGGAAGAGACCAUAGAGACAUCAUCUUGCUUCAGAUGAAGAUAUUUCUCUUCUCCACCUGGACUCCACGAGAUGGUCGGAUGCAUGUGAUGUGGACAUAACACACUCUGAUCUAUGUGACUACAAGGAGACAUAAAGCACAGUUCAACCCUUCCAGGCCAUCUCUGACUCCCAUCAAUAUUGCAACUAUAACCAAACAUAAUCAAAUCAUUUGGAGUGUUCAGACUCAGAGGACUGUGAAAGGCUCUGUAGGGAGUAGAAGGGCUCUUUUGAUUUUCUCAGGUCAGCUGGGGAGCUGCCUCGUCUUAAUGCCUGUAACUUCAACUGAAAUGGCCCCAAAAGGAGAGAAGUGGGAUGUUAAGAGGCAGAUGACCUUUGAAUCUAUUUACACCUCUGGGCAAACACAGCAGUGAGGCUGUGAGGAGCUGGGAAGGCUGUUCUUUAAUAGGGAUCUUGUGUCACUUGCACCUGCUAAAAGACCAGAAGAGCCACGGGAAAGCUCUCACAAUGUUGGCCUCCCGUCUUCCAGGCCAGCUCUGCCCCCGAACAAACGAAAAAUUGUCUGCUUGGCCCUGUUUUGUUCCACUUUUCAAGAAUAAAAUCAUCUUAU